rnacentral:lncRNA from 1 species
CUUGGUACAUUAUUAUUUAAUCAUUUACUAGAUCGAUUCUUUUGUGUCAAGUAUCAUUUCUUGUUGAAUUAUUUUGUUCUUCACUGUUCCUUAUUUAAUUGGCAAGAUAAUAAGAUUGGAAAAAGCAAACUACGGUUUUCUCUCUUUUCUUUUGUAGAGCAAGAGACACUCUCUGUUUCUCUUCACGACUAUAGCAGGCAACAUUCCGUCUCCUAACCAACCUCAGUUGAUUGGAGCAAACUCUUUAAUGAGAUUUUUGACCAAAGAAAGGAAGUCCUAUGACAUAGUAUUGGCUAGAAGGGUUGUUGAAUAUGUUAGUUUAAGUGAGAGUAGGAGGGGCUUCAAAUUGAUGAUAGUGUUUAUAGUAUGAUGUUAUAUUUCUUCUUCAAAUUGACGAUAGUGUUUUGAGUUGUUUGGAAGGAGAGAAAUGCUAGAGUUUUUGAAGGACUUGAGAGGAAGUUAGUUUAUAUUAGGG